AUGGCGCCGAAGCGGAAGGGUGGCAAUGGGCGGAAGAAGACCAUCAUGCGGCGGGUCGAGAAGGAGGGCGCCCGGCAGGUGUGCUUCACCAAGCGCCGGCAGGGUCUGUUUAACAAAGCCAAUGAGCUGGCGGUGAUGUGUGGCGCCGAGGUAGCCGUCGUUGCCUACUCACCCGCUGGCAAUGACUUCUCCUUUGGUCACCCCUCUGCUGAGGCCGUCAUAGACCGCUUCCUGGCGGGCGGCGCGACGGGAGUCCUGAGCGCCACCGAUAAUAACAAGCUGAAGAAGUUGCACCUGCAGCAUGACGAGCUGCGCACGCAGCUGAAGGAGGUGAAGAUGCGGAAAGAGUGCAUGGAGGAGGCCAUGGCAAAGAAGCGCGCCAUGGGGGACCAGAUUGCGGCCUGGCUUAACCCCGAACUAGGUGACAUGGGGGAGGAGGAGAUGAUGGCCUUCGCCGCCAAGCUGAUGCCGGUGCGGGUCGCCGUCUCCGAAUGCGCAAACCAGGUACUCCUGAACAUGGGGAUGGAGAACGUCCUUCGCGCGCUCCAGGCGCAUGGGGUGCCACUGCCACAGCAGCUCUUCGGUGGAAGUACCUUUGAGUUUGGUAGCACCAGCACCAACACUGGGAUGGAGAUGCAUCAGGUGACUAUGGCGAUGCCGCCGCCGGAGUUCCCUGCUGAUAUGGAGAUGCCGCCACCCAUGGGGAUAGCCGCUGGGGCAGAUAUGGUGCAGCAGGCAACCGGGACGAACAUGGGGUUCCCAUACUGA
rnacentral:rRNA from 1 species